rnacentral:rRNA from 1 species
UACGUAGGGUGCAAGCGUUAAUCGGAAUUACUGGGCGUAAAGCGUGCGCAGGCGGUUUUGUAAGUCUGUCGUGAAAUCCCCGGGCUCAACCUGGGAAUUGCGAUGGAGACUGCAAGGCUAGAAUCUGGCAGAGGGGGGUAGAAUUCCACGUGUGAGCAGUGAAAUGCGUAGAGAUGUGGAGGAACACCGAUGGCGAAGGCAGCCCCCCUGGGUCAAGAUUGACGCUCAUGCACGAAAGCGUGGGGAGCAAACAGG